UCCGCUUCCCUACUUUCCCGGUUUGGUUUGUUUUCACGACCGCCAUUUUUAAAAACACGAGCGAAGAUGGAGCAGCACGAAGAGCAGUUGAUCAAGGAACUGAUCCAAAAGGCCAAAAAUUGAUGGAAAAUCAAGACGAUCAGCCGAUUUUCACGGAAUCUGCCAAGACCAAUCCAGAAGAUCUCGAAGAGGGGCAUGACGUCACACGUGUAACAAAGAACCAGGUAUCAAUUUCAUCCCUGUGCGCAGCAGUGGUUAGACCAGUCUCGAUAUGGAAUCACAUUUGAGAGAAUUCUGAUAGCGAUUGGGAUUCUUAUAUGUCGGAUGAAGGAGCAGAAGAUUAUAUCCAGAGUUAUCUGGAAUAUCCUUGAUAAUCUUCUUUUGGUCAUCUUUUCAAGCCCCCAAGACGAGAAACUGCCAGUUCACUCAGUCCCACUCACUACCGAUAGCAUACCACCAGCCGGAAAGAAUUAGAAAACAGAUUGGUUUGUGGAUUUUUAUUCUAAGCUGGCCAAUGUAAAAUAUAGGGAAAAUUUUUACAUGUACCUCAAUAAACGCAGAAAUAUAAUCUUUAAAACAUACACUUAUUCAGUAUAAUUACUGAAAGAAAAUAUGAAGUGGGUGAUAAUAGGAGAACUGACGAACUGUCCAAACGUCAGAUCAAAUGCCAUUUAUAAAAUAAAUGGGUUUCAUUUUGUUCCAGUAAUUCCCAUGUGGUCGUUCUGGUGGUGGUGGUGAACACUUGAUGAAUCAGGUUUAUUAUUAGUAGGCAACAUGAAAUCUGCCCGCUUUGUUUGCACAAAGCUCACCCACUGUCGUUUUAGAUUCGUGUCAUUUCUCAGAAAUUCGUGAACUGAAUGUCCUGUUGUGUAUGAAUUUGAACAUUCAAAUUCAUGCAGCGCUUUCCCAUUGUUAUUUUUGUAAGAUUCCAACAAUAACAUCUAAUUUCAGUGAGUAAACAAGUAUGGAGUCAGAUGAACAGAAAUGACCCAGAUAACCGGGUUCCACGCGUGACGUUAUGCGAGAUUAGCCCUGAGGCAAGGCUGCCUUUUUCCGGGAUCCGGACACUGCGAUUUACAGAGAAUCAGAUUGUUUUGCAGGUCAAGGGGCCCACAGGGCCCCUCCUGGGAAAAAACAGGGGCCCAUUUCUACAAUGGGGGGCCCAGUUAUUAUCCUUCAGUUGAAGCGAACCUAGUGAGCGAAGCGAGCCCAAUGAACAGCUGCGGCAGCCCAGGGGCUGUUUUUUUCUUCUCAAUUCUGUUUUUUUUUGGGAUUAGAAGCCAUACGAAGCAAUGUAGAUGACAAAAAUCAGUGCUUCAACCAAAUAUAUUGAGAUAUUGUUUAAUCAGUGGCAAUAUUUUGGAAUUCAACCACAGGCCACUAUAUAUCACAUCUAUAUUAUCUCCUCCUUGUACAUUAUAGCACAAGAAUGGGUUUGUUUUUUGCAUGCUGUGACGGUCUAAUUCUGCUUGUCUCUAAUCAUCUCUACUUCUAAUUUCAGAGAAUCAGAUGGGAUGCUGAUUCUUCAAUCUUGGGUUCAAAUUCAGGCUAUGAAGUUUGAAAAUUAACAAUGUCUGAUACUAAUGAUACAACAGUUGAUUAAAUCAUCAAAAUCAGGAUGUGUGUAAAUCUAGUAUGACUAAUUACCUUGGGUAUCAGUUUUUUCAGGUUCUUUCUGCCGAAGAAUGACAAAAUAGAUGUAUUUUUCUUUUUUUUCUUAUCCAUGUUUUCUUGUCUCUUUCGAAUAUUCGUACAUAGACCGUAAGACGCCACCUAGCGAAAGACUUGGAUCAGGUUUUACUCAUUUGGGACGCUACAAACGGGGCGGCGUAAAUACACGAACGGGUCCAACGUAUAGUCAAGAUGGCGGCGGUCAAAACAAAUUCAUCCGAUGCUGAAAUCUGUUGAAUAUCCAGAUGUGGUAGCGGGGGCGUGAUCAAGCACCGGUCUGUGACAGGAGGGCGGAGUCAGGGAAGGUAAGUGGCAGAAUCACUACACCUGACUCCAAUUAACCUGUGUUUGUGUGUCUUCCCAGUGACCGCGCCCUAUUUAGGCAGGGAGAGCAGAGAGCAGAGGAGCUCAUCCCUGAACAAGACGCCAGUUGUGUGUGUGUGUGUAUAUAUAUAUGUCUGUUUGAGUGAAGUAUUGUUAAACUGAAAAGUCUAGCAAUAAACGCUAUUUUGAACCUGA